AAGGCUGAGGCGUGAUGACGAGGCACUACGGUGCUGAAGCAACAAAUGCCCUGCUUCCAGGAAAAGCCUCUAAGCAUCAGGUAACAUCAAAUCGUACCCCAAACCGACACAGGUGGUCAGGUAGAGAAUACCAAGGCGCUUGAGAGAACUCGGGUGAAGGAACUAGGCAAAAUGGUGCCGUAACUUCGGGAGAAGGCACGCUGAUAUGUAGGUGAAGCGACUUGCUCGUGGAGCUGAAAUCAGUCGAAGAUACCAGCUGGCUGCAACUGUUUAUUAAAAACACAGCACUGUGCAAACACGAAAGUGGACGUAUACGGUGUGACGCCUGCCCGGUGCCGGAAGGUUAAUUGAUGGGGUCAGCGCAAGCGAAGCUCUUGAUCGAAGCCCCGGUAAACGGCGGCCGUAACUAUAACGGUCCUAAGGUAGCGAAAUUCCUUGUCGGGUAAGUUCCGACCUGCACGAAUGGCGUAAUGAUGGCCAGGCUGUCUCCACCCGAGACUCAGUGAAAUUGAACUCGCUGUGAAGAUGCAGUGUACCCGCGGCAAGACGGAAAGACCCCGUGAACCUUUACUAUAGCUUGACACUGAACAUUGAGCCUUGAUGUGUAGGAUAGGUGGGAGGCUUUGAAGUGUGGACGCCAGUCUGCAUGGAGCCGACCUUGAAAUACCACCCUUUAAUGUUUGAUGUUCUAACGUUGACCCGUGAUCCGGGUUGCGGACAGUGUCUGGUGGGUAGUUUGACUGGGGCGGUCUCCUCCUAAAGAGUAACGGAGGAGCACGAAGGUUGGCUAAUCCUGGUCGGACAUCAGGAGGUUAGUGCAAUGGCAUAAGCCAGCUUGACUGCGAGCGUGACGGCGCGAGCAGGUGCGAAAGCAGGUCAUAGUGAUCCGGUGGUUCUGAAUGGAAGGGCCAUCGCUCAACGGAUAAAAGGUACUCCGGGGAUAACAGGCUGAUACCGCCCAAGAGUUCAUAUCGACGGCGGUGUUUGGCACCUCGAUGUCGGCUCAUCACAUCCUGGGGCUGAAGUAGGUCCCAAGGGUAUGGCUGUUCGCCAUUUAAAGUGGUACGCGAGCUGGGUUUAGAACGUCGUGAGACAGUUCGGUCCCUAUCUGCCGUGGGCGCUGGAGAACUGAGGGGGGCUGCUCCUAGUACGAGAGGACCGGAGUGGACGCAUCACUGGUGUUCGGGUUGUCAUGCCAAUGGCACUGCCCGGUAGCUAAAUGCGGAAGAGAUAAGUGCUGAAAGCAUCUAAGCACGAAACUUGCCCCGAGAUGAGUUCUCCCUGACUCCUUGAGAGUCCUGAAGGAACGUUGAAGACGACGACGUUGAUAGGCCGGGUGUGUAAGCGCAGCGAUGCGUUGAGCUAACCGGUACUAAUGAACCGUGAGGCUUAACCUUACAACGCCGAAGCUGUU
rnacentral:rRNA from 1 species